UCUCGCAUCGUGGUUGAAGUCCUCUCACUCGCCGGGUGUGUAUGACCGUCAGCACAGGGUCAAGUCUCAGCGAGUUUCGUUUCUGACUCUGCCUUCAGCUUGGAGAAAGCCACCUGUCGCUCUUCGCUGCAACGACACUUCUGCCUUGCGGACAGGAUUACGGUAAGCGUGCUGCGUCAUUUCCUGUUUUCUUGCCACUGGUGGUGGUCGCUCUGCGAAUUAGCUCCGCUGCAAAACACAACUGUUUCCCUGUAGCACUACGGCUAAAAUCACCGGUCUGUAGUUAAACACUCGCACAUACCAACCCUUAUUCUAUCGUGCUUAGUGAUUCUGUGUUCUGUCUGAGCUCACCUUCGUAGCUAUAUAGCAGCGAUGUCUUCUCUCUCUCCCUGUUGCUCUACUGCUCUCUCUUACUCCGAGUGUCUAAUGUUUACCUACUCCUCUGCCUCCCUUAACAGUAGUGGUACAUGUAAUAAAUGUAGUGUGUUGAUAGCGAUGGAGGCUCGGCUUAGCGACUUAGAAGCUCGGCUCAGCAGCUUAGAAACUCCGUUAGCUGUAGUUAGCCGGCUCCCGCUAGCCGCGGAGCCACCUAGCUUAGCACGUAGCUUAGCCUUAACGAGCAGUCCCCAGACUAGUCCCGUGCAGCCGGGAGCCCAGGGCAGAUGGGUGACGUUCCAGAGGGGGCAUAGUGCUAGUCUUAGAAAGCCCACGAUUAAAGAGCCACCAGCUCACGUUUCAAAUAGAUUCUCUCCACUCAGCGAGGCACCCGCUGAUAAACAAACUCUGAUUAUUGGCGACUCGGUUCUGAGAAACGUCAGGUUAGCGACACCAGCGACCAUAGUUAAUUGUAUCCCAGGGGCCAGAGCCGGCGACAUCGAAUCUAAACUUAAGUUAAUGGCCAAAUCUAAAAAAGGUAAAUACAAUAAAAUCGUAAUUCACGUCGGCAGCAACGACUCCCGGCUUCGUAUGUCGGAGGUCACUAAAUUGAAUGUUGAGUCGGUGUGUGCUUUUGCUAAAACGAUGUCGGACACAGUAGUUUUCUCUGGCCCGCUCCCUAAUACAACAGGUGAUGACAUGUUUAGCCGCAUGUUGUCUUUUAACCGCUGGCUGUCGAGGUGGUGUCCUGUAAACGGCGUGGGCUUUAUAGAUAAUUGGCUAACUUUUUUGAGAAAACCUGGUCUUGUUAGGAGAGACGGCGUUCAUCCCACUUGGGAUGGAGCAGCUCUCUUAUCUAGGAAUAUUACUAAGUCUAUAACAUGACAACCCAUAGUUGGGACCAGGAAUCAGAGCUGCAGUGCUAAACACUUCUCUGCGCUCCCUCUGGAUCAGUCACAAAACCCCAUAGAACGUUACUUGUUCUAUUUUAUGACACAUGACACACGGAGCUUCUCUUUCCAGCUUCUCCAUCCUCUUCUCCAUCCCUAUCCCCCUUCCCCGGAAUCCCUUUGCUUUAUCACCCGCAGAUCCAGGGCCUCUGUGGCCGCACCAUGGAUUACGGUUUGUGGAUCGCGCACCGGGGGUCGCGGUGUUGGAUCCAGUGUGGCGGAUUCUGAGUCAUGUGGGCUGAUCGUGGUGCUGGUGGCGGACCCUGUGUCGCGUUGCCAUUGGGCACGGGCGGUGGACCAGGACCGCAGUGGUGGCUUGUGAUGGGUCCUCCUGGUGGGCGGCGGUGGACGGUGACUGAGGACUGAAGUGGCGUCUGGUCUGGAUGGUGGAUCGUGGUCUAGAUGGUUGCUGAGCAUGGACUGUGCUUCAUCAAUGCUGCUAGAGACUUUGAUUAUUGAUGAUGUUCUCCUGCACGUGGCAUCUAUUGCACUUCUGUCCGUCCUGGGAGAGGGAUCCCUCACAUGUGGCUCUCUCUGAGGUUUCUACAUAUUUUUACCCUGUUAAAAAGGGUUUUUUGUAGUUUUUCCUUACUCUUGCUGAGGGUUAAGGACAGAGGAUGUCACACCCUGUUAAAGCCCUAUGAGAUGAAUUGUAAUUUGUGAAUAUGGGCUAUACAAAUAAAAUUUGAUUGAUUGAUUGAUUGAUGUCUUCAAGUACAUUGAAAUUAGUAAAUAUUGAAGAAUUUGUUGGAAGUGAACUAUAUUAUUGAUUGUUAAAAUGUCCAUGAAUGUGGAAAUCCCUUCUAUUGCUUUACUUUUACUUCCUGUUUCUGUCAUUAAAUGUUAGAAAGCAUUUCACAUAGCAAUUGUUGGGACGAUGACUAAGGUAAAUUAAUUGGUAGCAAAAUAACUGUCUUUUUCUGGUGAACUCACAUAGCAAUACUACCUAUAACCACUAGAUAGCAAUACAGUACAAAUAUUUCCCCUUCAGCUACAUACGGCACAUACUAUGCUAGGCCUAUUUGUGGAAUGUUGCUUCAGGGGUCUUCAUAGACAACAUUAUGUUGGCUCUACGAUGAUUAUGAUCAAUCCACUGUUGUCAUCAGUUUACCUUCAAAUUCCUUUGAACAUGGAGAGAGAAAUCUGCUUUACCAUUAAUAAAGAGGUGGACUACAUAUAAGUAAAACACAUUAGAAGUAUUCAUUUACAUUAUUGUUGUUUGUUGUUUUUUUAGUACUAGCACUGGCCCAAUAAUACGAAAAUAUGUAGUAUCUAGUGCUAGUAACUUCCAUGAAGUGAACAUUCAUAUGAAACUAAAUAUAACUGAAACAUGACAAUGUAAUGGUAUGAUUGUAAACAUGACAACUAACAGUACAUAAUAGUUAAUAUAAAUGCAAAUAAUAAAGGGGCUGUGUAUUAAAAUUCUUCAA